GAUCCUGGCUCAGAGUGAACGCUGGCGGUAGGCCUAACACAUGCAAGUCGAACGGCAGCACAGUAAGAGCUUGCUCUUAUGGGUGGCGAGUGGCGGACGGGUGAGGAAUACAUCGGAAUCUACCUUUUCGUGGGGGAUAACGUAGGGAAACUUACGCUAAUACCGCAUACGACCUGGUGAAGCAGGGACCGUUCGGGCCGUUCGCGCGGAGUAGAUGAGCCGAUGUCGGAGUUAGCUAGUUGGCGGGGUAAA
rnacentral:rRNA from 1 species